AGUGAACGCUGGCGGUAGGCCUAAUACAUGCAAGUCGAACGGCAGCACAGUAAGAGCUUGCUCUUACGGGUGGCGAGUGGCGGACGGGUGAGGAAUACAUCGGAAUCUACUUUUUCGUGGGGGAUAACGUAGGGAAACUUACGCUAAUACCGCAUACGACCUACGGGUGAAAGCAGGGGAUCUUCGGACCUUGCGCGAUUGAAUGAGCCGAUGUCGGAUUAGCUAGUUGGCGGGGUAAAGGCCCACCAAGGCGACGAUCCGUAGCUGGUCUGAGAGGAUGAUCAGCCACACUGGAACUGAGACACGGUCCAGACUCCUACGGGAGGCAGCAGUGGGGAAUAUUGGACAAUGGGCGCAAGCCUGAUCCAGCCAUACCGCGUGGGUGAAGAAGGCCUUCGGGUUGUAAAGCCCUUUUGUUGGGAAAGAAAAGCAGCAGGUUAAUACCCCGCUGUUCCGACGGUACCCAAAGAAUAAGCACCGGCUAACUUCGUG
rnacentral:rRNA from 1 species